AUUGAACGCUGGCGGAAUGCUUUACACAUGCAAGUCGAACGGCAGCACGGGGGCAGCCCUGGUGGCGAGUGGCGAACGGGUGAGUAAUACAUCGGAACGUGCCCGGUCGUGGGGGAUAACGUAGCGAAAGUUACGCUAAUACCGCAUACGAUCUGAGGAUGAAAGCGGGGGACCUUCGGGCCUCGCGCGAUCGGAGCGGCCGAUGUCAGAUUAGGUAGUUGGUGGGGUAAAGGCCUACCAAGCCGACGAUCUGUAGCUGGUCUGAGAGGACGACCAGCCAAACUGGGACUGAGACACGGCCCAGACUCCUACGGGAGGCAGCAGUGGGGAAUUUUGGACAAUGGGCGCAAGCCUGAUCCAGCCAUUCCGCGUGCAGGACGAAGGCCUUCGGGUUGUAAACUGCUUUUGUACGGAACGAAAAGGCUCUGGCUAAUACCUGGGGCUCAUGACGGUACCGUAAGAAUAAGCACCGGCUAACUACGUG
rnacentral:rRNA from 1 species